UACGUAGGGUGCAAGCGUUGUCCGGAAUUAUUGGGCGUAAAGAGCUCGUAGGCGGCUUGUCGCGUCGGCUGUGAAAACCUGGGGCUCAACCCCGGGCCUGCAGCCGAUACGGGCAAGCUAGAAUUCGGUAGGGGAGACUGGAAUUCCUGGUGUAGCGGUGAAAUGCGCAGAUAUCAGGAGGAACACCGGUGGCGAAGGCGGGUCUCUGGGCCGAAAUUGACGCUGAGACGCGAAAGCGUGGGGAGCGAACAGG
rnacentral:rRNA from 1 species